UACGGAGGGUGCAAACGUUGCUCGGAAUCAUUGGGCGUAAAGCGCACGUAGGCGGCCCAGCAAGUCGGGUGUGAAAGCCCUCGGCUUAACCGAGGAAGUGCAUUCGAAACUACUGAGCUUGAAUACUGGAGAGGAUCGCGGAAUUCCCGGUGUAGAGGUGAAAUUCGUAGAUAUCGGGAGGAACACCAGUGGCGAAGGCGGCGAUCUGGACAGAUAUUGACGCUGAGGUGCGAAAGCCAGGGGAGCAAACGGG
rnacentral:rRNA from 1 species